rnacentral:rRNA from 1 species
UGAGGAAUAUUGGUCAAUGGGCGGGAGCCUGAACCAGCCAAGCCGCGUGAGGGAAGAAGGCCCUAUGGGUCGUAAACCUCUUUUGUCAGGGAACAAAAGCGAGUAUGUAUACUAGUCUGAGUGUACCUGAAGAAAAACGCAUCGGCUAACUCCGUGCCAGCAGCCGCGGUAAUACGGAGGAUGCGAGCGUUAUCCGGAUUUAUUGGGUUUAAAGGGUGCGUAGGCGGCGAUGCAAGUCAGCGGUAAAAGCCCGGGGCUCAACCCCGGCGAGCCGUUGAAACUGCAGUGCUAGAGAAGGCGAGAGGUACGCGGAAUGCGCAGUGUAGCGGUGAAAUGCUUAGAUAUUGCGCGGAACUCCGAUUGCGAAGGCAGCGUACUGGCGCCUGACUGACGCUGAGGCACGAAAGCGUGGGGAUCGAACAGGAUUAGAUACC